rnacentral:piRNA from 1 species
UGGUGCAGAAACCGGGAUAGCAG